UGUCCCUUCCAGUUUUGCAAUGAAGUAACUUAUUGGAAUAUUUUCAAUGAUUGUGUGGAUUUGUGAGAUGGAAACAAAAGACGUCACCUUGUAAGCUGCUGAGGGCCACAAAUUUGGCCCCCUCCAUAUUGGACGGCUCCCCCUCUUUGCCCUUCAUGGACUCCGGGAUCAUCUUGGAGCCGUGCUUCUUCAGGCUCCUGGAGAGGUGCGGGCUGACCUCGGAGGGCGUGUCCUCCGGCGAGAGGCGGGCCCGGAUCUUCAGCGCCCCCUGGCUGAUGACCCUGGAGGUGGCCUCCGCCCCUCUGACCACCUCCUGACCCAACACGGUCGCUCCUGGAGAGAAGAAGAUGUCAGUGGAUGGCGCCCUCCAGUGAGCCGAUUUUCAGGUGUGUGUGGAAUCUCACCUGACAAGAUGCCCCCGCCCAUCUUCUCACUCCAGGUGGGCAGCGGUGCUUUUUCUUUCACCGUCGCCCCCGGCAACAUGACCUGGGGGCCCAGGGGCACCGUCUCACUCAGGCUGAUGACCCCUGACCCCACGUCGUCUGGCCUC